rnacentral:lncRNA from 11 species
AUAAGUCUGGCCUGUAAUGCCGGGUGUUUUGGACUCCAGCUCCCUGAAUCUCUUCUCAUUUUACUGUCGUGGCGUAGUGGACUAAAGCCUCGUGACUUGAAGGUUGGGUUGCUGACCUGAAGGCUGCCAGGUUCGAAUCCCACCCGGGGAGAGCGCCGAUGAGCUCCCUUUCUCAGCUCCAGCUCCACGCGGGGACAUGAGAGAAGCCUCCCACAAGGAUGCUUUCACAAGAACUGCAGGGUUUGGAGCCCGGCGUAACAAACCUUCCAAAAGGCCAGAUGAGACACAGACGGGUUGAAGGCAAAAUCAGAGGCUUUAUUCUCCAUGGUCAACGAGGAUGUCAGCGGAGACAGCACUCCAAAAGAACUGACAUAUCACAGCUGUGGAAACAUAGGCAUAUUUAUUGAUUUUGACAGCUUUUUAAAAUACUGUGCUGGCUCCUGAUUUGUUUUAAAAGUAUUGAGCGAGGAUCUGUUCCCUGGCUGGUUCAGAGCUCCAUCAAACAUUAUUGAUGGUUGGUUCACACCAUGGUGAAAAACUUUAAUAAACUGUCAUUGGACUAUUUUGAAGAGUGUGUCCAUUUAUUGAUCCACCCAUGAGAGGAGCACAAUCAGAAAGGAAA